UCGUUUUUUUAUUUUUAUUUUUUAUACAAUUAAAUAACUUAAACAGGUAAUAUAAAUGGAUGAAUGAAUGAAUACGAAUUUAUAAAUGAAUAAUUAAAGACAAGAAAAUUUUGAUUUGCAGACAACUAUGUGUCUGCAGUGCUAGCGUUUUAGUCAGGCGCAACAUAGACACCUGCGCCACCUGCGCGUCGGCGGCGGCGCGCAAGUGCACAACGUCGUCACUCACUGUAAACAAUGAUGAGCCAUUUGACAUGUCAAAAAAAAGGAUAUAUCCCUCUGGGGCCGAAAAGAGAACAAAGAAAAGGACCGAGGAUGAGAAAAAAAGAGCAAGAUAAAGGAACACUGUUGAAGUACUUUGUAGCACAACCAACUCCACCCGCCCCUGAUGUUUCAUCAAGUGUCAGUGUCUCCACAGCUGAUGAUGCAGCAGAUGAGAGCGUGACAUUUGUGUCCGCGUGGUGGGAGGGGGGCCCCCAAACACAUUCUGCUUAGGGCCCCCAAGAGGCUCAGGCCGGCACUGGGUCA